GACAGAGGCCUCAAGCGUUAGGCGGAAUCACUGGGCUUAAAGCGUGUGUAGGCGGAUCGUUAAGUGUCUUGUGAAAUCCCACGGCUCACCCGUGGAACGGCUGGGCAUACUGGCGAUCUUGGGCCAACUAGGGGCAACUGGAACAAGCGGUGGAGCGGUGAAAUGCGUAGAUAUCAGGAGGAACAUCGGUGGUGUAGACGGCUUUCUGGACCGUAACUGACGCUGAGACACGAAAGCGUGGGUAGCAAACAGG
rnacentral:rRNA from 1 species